GACGAACGCUGGCGGCGUGCUUAACACAUGCAAGUCGAACGGAAAGGCCCUGCUUGCAGGGUGCUCGAGUGGCGAACGGGUGAGUAACACGUUGGUGAUCUGCCCCUUACUUUGGGAUAAGUCUUGGUAACUGGGUCUAAUACUGGAUAGGACCAUGCUGUCGGUGGUGUGGUGGGUAGUUUAGUUUCGGUAAGGGAUGAGCUCGCGGCCUAUCAGCUUGUUGGUGGGGUAGUGGCCUACCAAGGCGUCGACGGGUAGCCGGCCUGAGAGGGUGGACGGCAACAUUGGGACUGAGAUACGGCGCAGACGCCUACGGGAGGCAGCAGGGGGGAAGAUGGGAAAAUGGGAGCAAGCCGGAUGCAGCGACGCAGCGUGGGGGAUGACGGCCUGCGGGUUGUAAACUCCUAUAAGCCAUGACGAAGCGCUUGUGGUGACGGUAGUGGUAGAAGAAGCACCGGCUAACUACGUG
rnacentral:rRNA from 1 species